UUGGAGGGCAAGUCUGGUGCCAGCAGCCGCGGUAAUUCCAGCUCCAAUAGCGUAUAUUAAAGUUGUUGCAGUUAAAAAGCUCGUAGUUGAACUUCGGGAUCAAUGGAUUGGUCAUGCCGAUGGUAUGUACUGGUCAUAUUGGUUCUCACCUUCUAAGGAACCAUAAUGUCAUUCAUUUGAUGUUUUGGGGAAUUAGGACUGUUACCUUGAAAAAAUUAGAGUGUUUAAAGCAGGCUAACGCUUGAAUACAUUAGCAUGGAAUAAUGAAAUAGGACAUCGCAUUCUAUUUUGCUGGUUUCUAGGAUCGAUGUAAUGAUUAAUAGGGAUAGUUGGGGGCAUUAGUAUUCAAUUGUCAGAGGUGAAAUUCUUGGAUUUAUUGAAGACUAACUACUGCGAAAGCAUUUGCCAAGGAUGCUUUCAUUAAUCAAGAACGAAAGUUAGGGGAUCGAAGACGAUCAGAUACCGUCGUAGUCUUAACCAUAAACUAUGCCGACUAGGGAUCGGAUGAUGUUGAUUUUUUAAUGACUCAUUCGGCGCCUUACGGGAAAC
rnacentral:rRNA from 1 species